rnacentral:ncRNA from 1 species
GAAGGAACUCAGCAAAAUGAUCCGGUAACUUCGGGAGAAAGGGUGUAGCGACUGUUUAUUAAAAACACAAGUCUCUGUUAAGUGGUAACACGAUGUAUAGAGUUUGACACCUACCCGGUAAGGAAAAGUGUUAUGAGCUUUGAAUGGAAGCCCCGGUAAACGGCGACAGUAACUUUAAGGUAUCGUUCAUUUCACCAAUUUGAGUUUUUAAUUUUAAAUUUUUACAGUAAAAAACUCUCAAAAAUGUCAUAUUAACUUUUUCUACUAUAAUAAAAAAUUUUAAAAAAAUAUCACAUCUCAACUCAAAUUAAAAACUUGAAUUCACAGAGUGAAUGGGCCUAACUGUAGCGACCUGGAUGAAUGGUGUAACGACUGCCCCC